GGAAAAGAAACUAACAAGGAUUCCCCUAGUAGCGGCGAGCGAAGCGGGAAGAGCUCAAAUUUAUAAUCUGGCACCUUCGGUGUCCGAGUUGUAAUCUCUAGAAAUGUUUUCCGCGUUGGACCGCACACAAGUCUGUUGGAAUACAGCGGCAUAGUGGUGAGACCCCCGUAUAUGGUGCGGACGCCCAGCGCUUUGUGAUACAUUUUCGAAGAGUCGAGUUGUUUGGGAAUGCAGCUCAAAUUGGGUGGUAAAUUCCAUCUAAAGCUAAAUAUUGGCGAGAGACCGAUAGCGAACAAGUACCGUGAGGGAAAGAUGAAAAGCACUUUGGAAAGAGAGUUAACAGUACGUGAAAUUGUUGGAAGGGAAACGCUUGAAGUCAGACUUGCUUGCCGAGCAAUCGGUUUGCAGGCCAGCAUCAGUUUUCCGGGAUGGAUAAUGGUAGAGAGAAGGUAGCAGUUUCGGCUGUGUUAUAGCUCUCUGCUGGAUACAUCUUGGGGGACUGAGGAACGCAGUGUGCCUUUUGGCGGGGGUUUCGACCUCUUCACACUUAGGAUGCUGGUGGAAUGGCUUUAAACGACCC
rnacentral:rRNA from 1 species